rnacentral:rRNA from 1 species
UACGAAGGGGGCUAGCGUUGCUCGGAAUGACUGGGCGUAAAGGGCGCGUAGGCGGUUCGUACAGUCAGACGUGAAAUUCCCGGGCUCAACCUGGGGGCUGCGUUUGAUACGUGCGGGCUUGAGUUCGGAAGAGGGUCGUGGAAUUCCCAGUGUAGAGGUGAAAUUCGUAGAUAUUGGGAAGAACACCGGUGGCGAAGGCGGCGACCUGGUCCGAUACUGACGCUGAGGCGCGAAAGACGUGGGGAGCAAACAGG